rnacentral:rRNA from 1 species
CACGUAGGGCGCAAGCGUUGUCCGGAAUUAUUGGGCGUAAAGAGCUCGUAGGCGGUCUGUUGCGUCCGCUGUGAAAACCCGGGGCUUAACCCCUGGCUUGCAGUGGAUACGGACAGACUAGAGGUAGGUAGGGGAGAAUGGAAUUCCCGGUGUAGCGGUGAAAUGCGCAGAUAUCAGGAGGAACACCCGUGGCGAAAGCGGCUCUCUGGGACGGUACUGACGCUGAGACGCGAAAGCGUGGGGAGCAAACAGG